GUUCGAAACGUUUUACUUCGUAUCAAUAUGGAUUUUAAAUUGACGCGUCUCGAGUGUAUUGAUUGCUACCCGAUUCAUAUCAAUUUUCUUUUCAACCAUGUCUUUUAACGACAAAUCUUAUUGUCCAUAAUAAAAAAUGUACAAACGAAUGUGAACAAUCGACGUUUGAACAUCUGAGUGGUUUAACAGUGAGAUCAUUGUUUUAAAAUGCCACUUAGAUACACAUUGGUGUUUCUUCUAGCAAUAGUGCUCGGACAAAUAUCUGAUUACACCGAUAAAUUGUUCUUUAAAGUAAACGAUGAAGACUUUGAACAUGUUUCAGGUGUUUUAAGGAAAGAGGAUUAUACAUUUGUGUCACAGAUCAUUUCAGGCAUUUACGUUUUCCAAAAACGAGGGUUAACUGGGAAAUUGUCAGAAGAGGACUUACAGUUGAUCAAGAGCUAUGAUGACAAGAUACAAACGGUUGAGCAAGUCAGGAGAUGGCACAUACAACCUACAUCAGAUGGUCUGACCGGGCAAAAUCUUGGUGUCCAUGACUCGAGGUACGGAAUGGGCAUAGGAGAUGCGUGGAACUUUAGCAUGACUGGAGAGAACGUUACACUAGGGGUGUUAGACGUUGGCGUGGAUAUCACACAUCCCUACCUCCUGGACAAUAUUGCUCAGCAAUUGAGUUGGAACUACGAUUCAAACACUUCUGACGUUUCCCCCGGAUAUCAACGUAGCUAUGGAGAAUUUUUACAGUUGCAAGACCACGGAACCAAUGUAUGCGGUCUCUUGUCAGCGAACAGCAAUGAGAGUGCACCAUGUGCUAAAGGGGUUGCUUUUAAAUCAAAACUAGCCAUAAUAAAAGUUGCUCAUCUGGACGUUAAAGUAGGUAUCCUCGCUGACGACGACAAUAUUGCUGGAGGAUUAGCACAUAGAACAGAUACCAUCUCAGUAUACGUGAACGCAUUUACUUACAGGAACACUUUUCGAAACCUCAACUUCGCCACCGAAGUUGUGUUGGAACAGGGCACACGCAUUGGAAGACAAGGCAAAGGAUCGAUGUUUGUUUUUCCGUCAGCGAAAAUCGGAGGUGGACUUGAAAACAAAAUACACACUAUCGUCGUCAGUGGUGUUAAUCCAAAUGGAAGUGUUCCGGCGUCCGUUGCUAGCAAUGCUGCUGUCCUUACUUCAGCGCUUGCUUACAGUUUUUCUUUGAUGUCUGCAGGAAUGAGUACCACAGCAGGCAUUUAUUCAGAUAGAAAAUGUACGGACAAAUUCGGGGGAACCUCAGCAUCAACAGCUUUUCUGUCCGGUAUACUGGCACUUGUACUCCAAGCUAACCCAGGUCUUUCUUGGCGUGAUGUUAUGCAUAUCAUAGUACAGUCAUCCGAACACGAGUCACUGAAGAGUGAAUCUUCCAACUUCACACCGAACGCAGCAGGCAAAUAUUUUCACGCCAUGUUUGGCUUUGGCUUAAUAAAUGCUGAAAAAGCUGUAUCACUGGCAAGAACGUGGACCCCUGUCGGAAAUAUGUUCGCUGUUACAGGAACGCAUCUGUCUCAAAGAAGUUGUAGACCACUCGUUGAUUAUGUUACAUCGCAUCCCUGCUGGCUCCUGAAAUACAUCGUCACAAAUCAACUUGUACGGUACAACACAUCGGAACAACACAGUAACGAUACAUUUCGACGCGUCUCUUCUAAAAUUUGCAAUGAUAUGUCUUGUUCGUUCGGAUUCGAAAUCAAGUGCGCACAUUAUUGCUCAUGUGCAUCCACGGUUGAGCAAGUUCAGGUCUCCAUCACUUGUCACACGUCGAAUCCCAAAACGACAAGUGUGUACAUUACUUCGCCAAGCGGUACCAAGUCAAUUCUUGUACAAGAAGGCCAAAUCAGCACAAAGGACAUCGUAACGGAUGUCUUAAUGAGGUCCGUGAAUUUCUGGGGUGAAAAUGCAACAGGUCUUUGGAUUAUCAACAUCAGCAUCACAGAUGGGACGAUAUUCAACGCAAAUGUUUCCUCAAUCAUUAUUUCUGGAACAAACGCAAUUGCAUCGGGUGACAUGCCCUGUGAAGAACUACACAAAUCUAUGACGGCCUCACCGCCUGGACAAGCCACAGUUUCGGAGGAUCUCAUGGAUUCGAAUGCUAAAACACCAAAGCCACGGGAAAAGUCUGCACUUGAAGCAACGAUAGCGGUGCUCUUCCUUGUUUGUAUCUUAAUCGGGUCGAUUAUAUUUUUCUACCUAAACGCAGAUCAUGCUCCAGUUAUUCCGUAAAAUAAUAUUCUGCCGUUAAAAAAUCUCGAAUACCGAUAAUUGGUAAGGGUGUCACAAUACGCUCACCUUACGAUACGAUACGUAUCGCGGUACAGUGUGUACGAUACAAUACGUAUCGCGAUACGUAUCGUCAGAUGGAAACAACAUACAAACCAUUUAAAACCAUUUUUCAAUUUCAUUUAAAGACCUCUACAUAUACCAUACGUCAUACAAUAUACAAAAUACCAUAUUAUGUCAUGAAAGUACACGAAAUGACAAUUAGUAAUUAUUAUUUACAAAUCUAAAACUUUGAUUAAAUAUGAACACGAAAUUAUGAAUAUGUUUACAAAAUACGGACUGCUUUAUGUUUCUUUUACUUCGAUAGAUUAUUUAAGUUAAAAAUAAAACGUGGUUACCAACUAGUCAAAUUGGCUAUCUUUGCUUGUGUCCUGGCUAUAUUUGCUUGUGCCGUAAAACUCCAAGCGCAAUUCGUAGAACAAGUUAAAUAUUGCACCUUGUUUCGUGACGUAGGCGACACAGCACAUGUUUGAGUGGUUGAAAUUUAAUUUUAAUGGUUUCAAAGAUUUAGCGAAGUUCUCAGCGGAAUCACAAAAUUACAGCUCCUGCUUAGGAAAUUCGUAGCGACUAAAGUCGUGAUAUAAAGCAAAUGUUUAUACGAAAUAAGCGCCUACCACUUUCUUACUGAUAACACAAAAUGCUUCCAUAUCUUUAAUUAAAAGCUCGCUGAAGGUGAUUUCAAUUCAACUUCCGCCAUUUUUGGGCGAAUUACAGUUACUUCCCUUAAAAUGCGUCAUGGAAAAUGCCGUACCGUACCGUACCGUACGGACUCAGAGGCGUAUCGUGAACCGUACCGAGGGGAGACUAUUACGAUAUACCGUCCCACGGAGUACCGUGACACCCUUAAAAAUUCGACAGUCGUAACUGUAUGAAAAGUGUAACCGCUACUUGAUGUUGUAUUUUUACUUGUGUUAAAUUUGCUUCAACUCGUUUAUAUAUUUCUAUUCAAUUAUGCAGGUGAUAUAUAUCUGUGAUUACAUUGUUUUCUUGUCUUUUUUUUGCAAACGUUUGUAGCUGAUUGUUAUCUGUGAUACGAUUGUAUUCAUGUCUUUAACUAUAUGUUAUGUUUACUAAUUUUUAUUGUCUAUAGUAAGUUUAAACUUGUAAUGCGCCUCAUCCCUUUCUGUAUCUUGUUUACUGUUAUAGUGUUGUUGUUGCUGCUUUAAUUCAAUGAAUAAGCAGUUGUAUGAAAGAACAAUGUUUAAAAUUUUAACACAAUGAUUAUGGUAUUAGUAAAUGUACAGCCAUCGAACAAUCAUUGAAUGAGCAAAUCAUAAGUCAGUAUUAGCCUACAGUCAUGACACGAUAUCGUUAGCACCGACAAAUACUGUCAUGAACUGUAGGAAUAAUAAGAACACUUAAUUCUUUAUUGUGCAACAAUUGCUUUAAUUGAAUUUUUAUGUUUUUCAAUAUAUUUCAUUUCCGUUUAAUUCUUUUUUAUUCAUCUAGCUGAUCUUAUUUACCUUAAAACUUAGUUUUGGCUGUUUAAAGGGGCCUUUUGACAUAUUUUGGCAUGUAUUGAAGUAUGUCAAUAAAUGCUUUAUACAUGUUGUAUUAAUAAAUGUAAACAUUGAAUCUAAAAAACUCAAGUAAAAAACAAGAAUAAAAUAAAAGCUAGGAAAAGUAACCCUCAACUGGGCUCGACCCACUGACCCCUGGAGUAAAAGUCUAUCGCUUAGACCAGUGGGCCAUCCGUGCUCAUGACAUGGGUGAUGUAUUUUAUGCUUUAUAUCAGCAAUCCUCUUAGUAUCCCAAAAUAUAACGAACACAACAGAACUCUCCAAAUUAUUCAAUCGUUUCGAUUCGUAACUCUUUAUAAUUUUCCGGUUUUUAAAUCGUCAAAAGAUUCAUAUAAGGAUAUUUCAGAGCAUGGUAAAUGUUCAGUAUUACUGUUUCCUCACUAAUAUCAUUACUACAACGAAAAUUUGCGAAUCUGAAAACUUUUUUUUUAAUUGUGUCAAUUUACCUAAACGUGAAAAGGCCCCUUUAAAAAAUGAUAUGCCCGUGCAUUUGAUUUUUUAAGAAACUUUAUAUUCGAUACGUUGACAUACAUUUGUUGUUGUUGUUUAAGUGUCGUUGCUUUUCUGUCGUUUGAACCAUUUGCAUAGUUUUCAGUAAUAUAGCGGUGGUCAGAUCACCAUCUUGAAAGGUUCGGGGGAAUAUUAAACAUUUAUAUUUAAGUUUACGACUUCUCCCGGUAGUACACAUACUUAUCCAAAAACUACCAACAGUUGUCCUUCUUGACUUAGAUGUAGGGCUCUCUCUUACCAACAGGAUCAUGACCAAGCCCAUCACAAGCAUGGCCGGGCUGGGAAUCAAACCCACAAACCCAGUAUUGACAGUCAAGGAUUUAAUCAAAAGCUUCAAAGGACGGUCAUGUUUUCCAAAUGAUCGGGAAAAAAAUCUAAAUAUUAUGCCUUUAAAACUUCAACGUGAAAUUAAUAUUCAUUAACUACUGGCGAGUGGUUGCUUCGUAAAUGUUUGUUGUGAAUAACUCGAUUAUCUAGAAUUAUUAAAACUCUAUUCAUAAUUAACAAUACAAUAUAAAAUUUCCAUCGACGAGAUUCGAACCACGGUCCCCUUUAAGCAAACUCUCAAGCGAUACCAAGCAGCCAUUUAUGAGUAAGAACUUUGGAGAGUAUGUUGACACUUAGUUUGUGGCAGACGUGUUUUCAAAUAAUCGAUGAACAGCGCUCAAAACGCUUGCUAAUUUUAUCCAUUAUGACUGCUGGUUAUCUAUUUACGAAACGAUAAAUAAGGAAUCGUUGGCCAAUAAAAUUAUUUUACACUUUGUUUCUAGAAUCUUUGACACAUUAUUAAAAAAUCAAACAUUUUGCUAAUCUAGCUAAUUACUGUUGUGUUAAUACAUACUUUAAUAAUACGCACACUUGCUACUGUAAAGUGAUAGUUCUAAAACCUUGGAACGUUCAAAAUGUGAAUUCCUAUCUGAAAGGCUUUGCUAUGUAAACUUAUGAAAUGAUAUAGUUUCACUCAAGUAAAAACUUUGGUAACUGAUUUUUGCCAUAGUGUACUGAGUGUUCUGCGGGCUUAAAGAAGGUCGUCAACAUGCCAGCAUGUUAGAACGACAAAUAAUACCCAGCAGAAAAACAAAAAGGCCGACGAUACGACAGUUAUGAUAUGUUUCGCAUUUCGAACCCGCAAAAACGCCAACACAAGAAAGACACAAACAUACUCACCAAAACGACCAAAACGGCGCCCAUAUGACAAUUUAUGAGUUUGUGAUCCUUUUUGUCGUUUUGGCUUUCUUUCGUUUUGGUGUGUUAAUCACCUUCUCUAAACCCGCCGUAAAUUAAGAACUAAUAUUGAAAUCUGCGAGAAUAAAAAGUGAAUAGUG